AGAACGAACGCUGGCGGCAGGCCUAACACAUGCAAGUCGAACGCCCGUAGCAAUACGGGAGUGGCAGACGGGUGAGUAACGCGUGGGAACGUGCCCUUCGGUUCGGAAUAACUCAGGGAAACUUGAGCUAAUACCGGAUACGUCCGUAAGGAGAAAGAUUUAUUGCCGAAGGAUCGGCCCGCGUCGGAUUAGCUAGUUGGUGGGGUAAUGGCCCACCAAGGCGACGAUCCGUAGCUGGUCUGAGAGGAUGAUCAGCCACACUGGGACUGAGACACGGCCCAGACUCCUACGGGAGGCAGCAGUGGGGAAUAUUGGACAAUGGGCGAAAGCCUGAUCCAGCCAUGCCGCGUGAGUGAAGAAGGCCUUAGGGUUGUAAAGCUCUUCAGCGGGGAAGAUAAUGACGGUACCGCAGAAGAAGCCCGGCUAACUUCGUACCAGCAGCCGC
rnacentral:rRNA from 1 species